rnacentral:rRNA from 1 species
UACGAAGGGGGCUAGCGUUGUUCGGAAUUACUGGGCGUAAAGCGUGCGCAGGCGGCUUCUCAAGUCAGGGGUGAAAGCCCAGAGCUCAACUCUGGAAUUGCCUUUGAGACUGAGAGGCUUGAGUACGGGAGAGGUGAGUGGAAUUCCCAGUGUAGAGGUGAAAUUCGUAAGAUAUUGGGAAGAACACCGGUGGGCGAAGGCGGCUCACUGGCCCGAAACUGACGCUCAUGCACGACAGCGUGGGGAUCAAACAGG